UCUUUGUUGCCCUUCCUCACUCAGGCACAGUCUGGGGAAGACUUUGGCCUCAGCCCACACUAGAAGGCUGUUUACCAGACCUGCUGGAGCCUCUGAGGGGCAGCAGCCAGCUCACACCGCAUGCCCUGGAUGGCCAGAAGGCACAGGAGACCACAGAGCAUAUGAGUGGGGUAAGAGGAAACCAUCUAUCAACAAACAGGGACCAGAGCAAAUGAAGUUCCAACAUCUUGCCCACGCUCUUGCAUGGCCAGAAAUCUCAGCUGCUCUGAAAUGACUCCCAUGUCUCCUGAUAUAAUUUCUGGCUCACUAGGUAGCCUAAAUAUUAUGAUAUCAGGCAAAUUAAAACCUGGGUCGUGAUGAUGGCAGCACUGGUGUCUGACACAGACUCUUCCAUGAAGGCAGGUCCCAAACUUGUUCUCACCCUCAGACCCUCUGCAUAUAAUUCUCAGUUUUCCCAGAAAGCAUUUACCCUGUGCUUCAGAGAGACUAUUUUUCUAACAAAGACAUUUACUCUUUCCAGUCCUUCUUUAGUCUCUCUAGGAGAUGCCCA